GACGAACGCUGGCGGCGUGCUUAACACAUGCAAGUCGAACGCGCCUGUCCUCUGGGUUUCUGGGGGGUGGGUGAGUGGCGAACGGGUGAGUAACACGUGAGUAACCUGCCCCCUUCUUCGGGAUAACGGUCUGAAAGGGCUGCUAAUACCGGGUAUUCACUGGUCUCCGCAUGGGGUCUGGUGGAAAGGUUUUUUUCUGGUGGGGGAUGGGCUCGCGGCCUAUCAGCUUGUUGGUGGGGUGAUGGCCCACCAAGGCUUUGACGGGUAGCCGGCCUGAGAGGGUGACCGGUCACAUUGGGACUGAGAUACGGCCCAGACUCCUACGGGAGGCAGCAGUGGGGAAUAUUGCACAAUGGGCGCAAGUCUGAUGCAGCGACGCCGCGUGAGGGAUGGAGGCCUUCGGGUUGUGAACCUCUUUCGCCCGUGGUCAAGCCGCGACGUGGGUCGUGGUGAGGGUAGUGGGUAAAGAAGCGCCGGCUAACUACGUG
rnacentral:rRNA from 1 species